rnacentral:rRNA from 1 species
GACGAACGCUGGCGGCGUGCUUAACACAUGCAAGUCGAACGGAAAGGCCCUGCUUUUGUGGGGUGCUCGAGUGGCGAACGGGUGAGUAACACGUGAGUAACCUGCCCUUGACUUUGGGAUAACUUCAGGAAACUGGGGCUAAUACCGGAUAGGAGCUCCUGCUGCAUGGUGGGGGUUGGAAAGUUUCGGCGGUUGGGGAUGGACUCGCGGCUUAUCAGCUUGUUGGUGGAGUAGUGGCUUACCAAGGCUUGGACGGGUAGCCGGCCUGAGAGGGUGACCGGCCACAUAGGGACUGAGGUGCGGCCCAGACUCCUACGGGAGGCAGCAGUGAGAAAUAGUGCAAGAUGGGCGGAGGCCGGAUGCAGCAACGCCGCGUGCGGGAUGACGGCCUUCGGGUUGUAAACCGCUUUCGCCUGAGACGAAGCGUGAGUGACGGUAAUGGGUAAAGAAGCACCGGCUAACUACGUG